rnacentral:rRNA from 1 species
UACGUAGGGUGCGAGCGUUGUCCGGAAUUACUGGGCGUAAAGAGCUCGUAGGUGGUUUGUCGCGUUGUUCGUGAAAAACCGGGGGCUUAACCCCUCGGCGUGCGGGCGAUACGGGCAGACUUGAGUACUGCAGGGGAGACUGGAAUUCCUGGUGUAGCGGUGGAAUGCGCAGAUAUCAGGAGGAACACCGGUGGCGAAGGCGGGUCUCUGGGCAGUAACUGACGCUGAGGAGCGAAAGCGUGGGGAGCGAACAGG